UACGGAGGGUGCAAGCGUUAUCCGGAUUCACUGGGUUUAAAGGGUGCGUAGGUGGGCAGGUAAGUCAGUGGUGAAAUCUCCGGGCUUAACCCGGAAACUGCCGUUGAUACUAUUUGUCUUGAAUAUUGUGGAGGUAAGCGGAAUAUGUCAUGUAGCGGUGAAAUGCUUAGAUAUGACAUAGAACACCAAUUGCGAAGGCAACUUACUACACAAUGAUUGACACUGAGGCACGAAAGCGUGGGGAUCAAACAGG
rnacentral:rRNA from 1 species